rnacentral:rRNA from 1 species
CCCUUAGAUGUCCUGGGCUGCACGCGCGCUACACUGGAAGUUACGGAUUGAGAUACUACCUUGUCCGAAAUGGUCCGGGUAAUCACCUAAAAGCUUGUCAUAAUUGGAAUGGAUUAUUGUAACUAGUAAUCCUGAACGAGGAAUUCCUAGUAAGUCCCAGUCAACAGCUGGUACUGAUUACGUCCCUGCCCUUUGUACACACCGCCCGUCGCUACUACUGAUUGGACGUUUAAGCAAGAUUUUUAAACACUGACAGUGUGUAGUUCACGCUAUACUACAGUGAGAAGAAGAAGAUCGAGCUUACUUGUCUAGAGGAAGUAAAAGCCGUAACA